rnacentral:tRNA from 1 species
AGUAGAAUGGCUGAGAUGAAUAUUAAGUGAUAGAUUGUAAAUCUAUUAAGGGGAAUAUUUCCCUUCUACUA